rnacentral:rRNA from 1 species
AUUACCGAAUUGUCAGCACGAGUUGUUGCUGGUCCUCAAAUGGGGACAUGUGCACGCUCUGUUUACACAUCCACUCACACCUGUGCACCCUCCAUAGUUCUGCAGCCUGGGGGAACUCUGUUCCCCUGCCGUGGUCCUAUGUAUUUACACACACACACACUGUAGUAAAGUCUCAUGGAAUGCAUACUGCGUUUAACGCGAUAUAAUACAACUUUCAGCAACGGAUCUCUUGGCUCUCGCAUCGAUGAAGAACGCAGCGAAAUGCGAUAAGUAAUGUGAAUUGCAGAAUUCAGUGAAUCAUCGAAUCUUUGAACGCACCUUGCGCCCUUUGGCUAUUCCGAUGGGCAUGCCUGUUUGAGUAUCAUGAACACCUCAACUCUCAUGGCUUUGCCAUGAUGAGCUUGGACUUUGGGGGUCUUGCUGGCCUGUGGUCGGCUCCUCUCAAAUGAAUCAGCUUGCCAGUGUUUGGUGGCAUCACGGGUGUGAUAACUAUCUACGCUUGUGGUUUUCCACCAGGUAACCUUUAGUGAUGAAGGUUCGCUGGGGCUCAUAAAUGUCUCUCCUCAGCGAGGACAGCUCUUUGAAUGUUUGAUCUCAAAUCAGGUAGGACUACCCGCUGAACUUAA